UCGUAUGGACAAGCAAAGAAAGUGGUUUUAUAAGACAGAAUUUACUCCUGGUGAAGAUGCUGUGAA
rnacentral:pre_miRNA from 1 species